AGAUUGAACGCUGGCGGCAUGCCUAACACAUGCAAGUCGAACGGGAGUAGCAAUACUCUAGUGGCGGACGGGUGAGGAAUACGUAGGAAUUUGCCCUUAAGUGGGGGAUAACCCGGGGAAACCCGGAUUAAUACCGCAUGACCUCGAAAGAGCAAAGUGGGGGAUCGCAAGACCUCACGCUUUUGGAGAAGCCUACGUCGGAUUAGCUAGUUGGUGAGGUAAUGGCUCACC
rnacentral:rRNA from 1 species